CCAAGGAAACUCAGAUACGCAUAAAAAGCAUCUAGAAACAACCAUAGAUUAUAUUUCAAGACAAAACAGGUUAUUUAUAGCCAAAAGGGACUUUGGGUAGCAAGUAAACUCACUGGUUUAUGUGGCUCCCCCAUUUUUGGUUAAGAAAUAGUUGCGUCCAAGAUGGCGGACGUUCCUAUGCCUCUCCCGGCGGGCGCUAGCGGCAAGGACUGAACUAUCUGGGGAGCACCAAGUAGAUUCUCCAAUGCUUUGAACACGUGGAACUGUACGGAGACAAAAUAUGUGACUAGAGAACCAUGCCAAGAAAACUGAGACUUCCACACAGGAGGCUUUUUAAGCUUUGCUUUUAAUCAGACAGACUGCUUGACAGACAAGACUGGAUCCUCUCCCCCUUUAAGGGCUGCGUUUUAGACCCGUCCACUGACGGGGCAAAAGAACGAAGGGUUCCAAAACUGCACGAGGAGUUCGCCGCCAACCAGAAGCAGCCAACACACAGGAAAAUGACUGCCCCUCACAAUGCACAAUCGUGUCGCGAGUGGCUUUAGUUUCAAUGGCCACCUGCAUCGCAGCUCGUCACCUAGUGCGGACCCCCGAGCAGACGGUCACUGUGGAUCACUCCGCCGGAGACAGCCUCCUUCACACGCGGGAGAACGCGAUCACGACCAGUUAGUUGACCAUGAAAUCACAGACUUGGAAUCCGAGCAGUGGAGUGGCUGAGCCAGGAAGAUGAGUUCAUGCUAGCCUGUGCUAUAUAAAGACUCCACGAAUGAGACUGGUGACCAGGGGAUGGUGGAUGAGUUAGCAAUCUGCUGGAGUAUUUUUGAUCGACUCAGAAAUGAGGAGCUACAGCCCAGUGAGAUUUCUCAGCCGACUCUUGCUGUCAAACCUGAAAAGUUGAGUUCCAUCCUGGAAGCCCAUAUUGUGGAGGGAGAGAAGUGACCCUGAGAGUUAGCCUCUGAUUUGCACGAGCAUGCACAUGACUAAGUAAAUGUAUUUAAUUAAAAUAAAAACAAAAACAAAAAACCA